UAAAACUACUUUUUUGUUAUAAAUACAAUAAAAUUUUUUAGAGCAUUUGACGCUCUUAAAAAAAUCCUUACUUAACUAAUACUCUGUUAUGAUAUUUUUUGAAUAUACCCUUCAAAAUAUAUAGACAAUAAAAGUGAUUAUCCAUUUUUCAAGUAAAUUUUAUAUAACAUGUUGGAAAAUUUGGACAAAAUUUUGAGAACAGAAAACAUAUUCUAGAUGAACUUUAUUAAUUUUAACAAGAGAAUAGUAAAAGUAUGAUUGUUUCUGAUGUACAAGAUCCAUCAAUGUUGCACGCACAAAGCAUACUUUGAAUCAUACUAAUGCCUUGAGUAUAACACUCUCACAGUCUAUUAUUUUCUCUACUUACUUGGAUGAGAAUUCUAACUUUCAUCUCACGUCACUUCCCAUAUCCAAGACCUUGAAGGAACUUGGCUAUUUAUAGGCACAAAAAAGUCCCAUGUCAUAAAUAAGAAUCCAACUAACUUUAACCAAACUUUAAAUGCACAAUCAUGAGAAGAUUUUAACCCUAUGCUUCAAAUCUUCAACUAAAUUAGUGCACUUCAACAACUAAAAAAUAAAAUUCUAAUUGUGCCCUUGGUUGCUGAGAUGAGCCUGACAUUUUAUUGAUUUUUGCAUAUAUCCAAGUUCAGCUGCCACCACUUUUCAACAUUCCAAAGUCACAACUCCAAUGUUAUGGUGAAUCUGUGUAUGCUGUGGGUAAAGAUUUGCUGCACAAGAUCAACAGUGCAGAGAACUCACAAGAAAGAUUUAUAUCUGUAGUGGCAUGGAGCAUUUCUCUUGGUCGUCCUACUGACUUCGGUUGUGUACCUUAUAACCCUAUUCUUGGAGAGACUCAUCAUGUCUCUAAGGGAAGCCUCAAUGUUCUGCUAGAGCAGGUUUCACAUCACCCGCCAGUUUCUGCACUGCAUGCAACGGAUGAGAAAGAAAACAUUGAGAUAAUUUGGUGCCACAAUAUAGUUCCUAAAUUCUACGGGAUUAAAGUGGAAGCUGAAGUGCAUGGAAGAAAGCAGCUUAAGUUCCUAAAUCAUGGAGAAACUUAUGUGAUGAAUGCACCAAGUUUGUUGAUUAAAUUUCUACCGCCUGGUCUUGAUUGGGUUGGCAAUGUUAAGAUCCACUGUCAGGAGACUGGCCUUGAAGCUGAGCUAUGUUACU
rnacentral:misc_RNA from 1 species